rnacentral:rRNA from 1 species
AUUGAACACUGGCGGCAUGCCUUACACAUGCAAGUCGAACGGCAGCACGGGAGCAAUCCUGGUGGCGAGUGGCGAACGGGUGAGUAAAGUAUCGGAACGUGCCCAGUCGUGGGGGAUAACGUAGCGAAAGUUACGCUAAUACCGCAUACGAUCUAUGGAUGAAAGCGGGGGAUCGCAAGACCUCGCGCGAUUGGCGCGGCCGAUAUCAGAUUAGGUAGUUGGUGGGGUAAAGGCUCACCAAGCCGACGAUCUGUAGCUGGUCUGAGAGGACGACCAGCCACACUGGGACUGAGACACGGCCCAGACUCCUACGGGAGGCAGCAGUGGGGAAUUUUGGACAAUGGGCGAAAGCCUGAUCCAGCCAUGCCGCGUGCAGGAUGAAGGCCUUCGGGUUGUAAACUGCUUUUGUACGGAACGAAAAGGUUUGGCCUAAUAAGCUGAGCUCAUGACGGUACCGUAAGAAUAAGCACCGGCUAACUACGUGCCAGCCGCCGCCGUAA